UAGCUUUACUAGGGGUGCCCUGUCGAGGGCUGAGAGAGAAACAAUCCGUUUCUUAACCCUUUGGACCUGAUCUGGUUCGUACCAGCGUGGGGAAGUAAAAAGGUGUUUGC
rnacentral:ncRNA from 1 species